UGGGGAAUAUUGGACAAUGGGGGGAACCCUGAUCCAGCCAUGCCGCGUGUGUGAAGUAGGCCUUAUGGUUGUAAAGCACUUUAAGCGAGGAGGAGGGUACUGGUAUUAAUACUACCAGCUACUGGACGUUACUCGCAGAAUAAGCACCGGCUAACUCUGUGCCAGCAGCCGCGGUAAUACAGAGGGUGCGAGCGUUAAUCGGAUUUACUGGGCGUAAAGCGUGCGUAGGCGGCUAAUUGAGUCGGAUGUGAAAUCCCCGAGCUUAACUUGGGAAUUGCAUUCGAUACUGGUUAGCUAGAGUGUGGGAGAGGAUGGUAGAAUUCCAGGUGUAGCGGUGAAAUGCGUAGAGAUCUGGAGGAAUACCGAUGGCGAAGGCAGCCAUCUGGCCUAACACUGACGCUGAGGUACGAAAGCAUGGGGAGCAAACAGG
rnacentral:rRNA from 1 species